rnacentral:rRNA from 1 species
UACGUAGGGUGCGAGCGUUGUCCGGAAUUACUGGGCGUAAAGAGCUCGUAGGUGGUUUGUCGCGUUGUUCGUGAAAACUCACAGCUUAACUGUGGGCGUGCGGGCGAUACGGGCAGGCUGGAGUACUGCAGGGGGAGACUGGAAUUCCUGGUGUAGCGGUGGAAUGCGCAGAUAUCAGGAGGAACACCGGUGGCGAAGGCGGGUCUCUGGGCAGUAACUGACGCUGAGAAGCGAAAGCAUGGGGGAGCGAACAGG